rnacentral:rRNA from 1 species
UACAGAGGUCUCAAGCGUUGUUCGGAUUCAUUGGGCGUAAAGGGUGCGUAGGCGGCGCGAUAAGUCGGGUGUGAAAUCUCGGAGCUUAACUCCGAAACUGCAUUCGAUACUGCCGUGCUUGAGGACUGGAGAGGAGACUGGAAUUUACGGUGUAGCAGUGAAAUGCGUAGAUAUCGUAAGGAAGACCAGUGGCGAAGGCGGGUCUCUGGACAGUUCCUGACGCUGAGGCACGAAGGCCAGGGGAGCAAACGGG